rnacentral:tRNA from 1 species
GUGGCUCAAUUGGCAGAGCAGCUGACUUGUAAUCAGCAGGUUAUCGGUUCGAGUCCUGCUCUCU